rnacentral:rRNA from 1 species
UACGAAGGGGGCUAGCGUUGUUCGGAAUCACUGGGCGUAAAGCGCACGUAGGCGGACUCUUAAGUCGGGGGUGAAAUCCUGGAGCUCAACUCCAGAACUGCCUUCGAUACUGAGAGUCUUGAGUCCGGGAGAGGUGAGUGGAACUGCGAGUGUAGAGGUGAAAUUCGUAGAUAUUCGCAAGAACACCAGUGGCGAAGGCGGCUCACUGGCCCGGUACUGACGCUGAGGUGCGAAAGCGUGGGGAGCAAACAGG